CCUACGGGAGGCAGCAGUGGGGGAUAUUGCACAAUGGAGGAAACUCUGAUGCAGCGACGCCGCGUGAGGGAAGACGGUCUUCGGAUUGUAAACCUCUGUCUUUGGGGAAGAAAAUGACGGUACCCAAAGAGGAAGCUCCGGCUAACUACGUGCCAGCAGCCGCGGUAAUACGUAGGGAGCGAGCGUUGUCCGGAAUUACUGGGUGUAAGGGGAACGUAGGCGGGCGAGAAAGUUGAAUGUUAAAUCUACCGGGUUAACUGGUAGCUGCGUUCAAAACUUCUUGUCUUGAGUGAAGUAGAGGCAGGCGGAAUGCCUAGUGUAGCGGUGAAAUGCGUAGAUAUUAGGAGGAACACCAGUGGCGAAGGCGGCCUGCUGGGCUUUAACUGACGCUGAGGCUCGAAAGCGUGGGGAGCAAACAGGAUUAGAUACCCCAGUAGUC
rnacentral:rRNA from 1 species